rnacentral:rRNA from 1 species
UACAUGGGGUGCAAACGUUGCUCGGAAUCAUUGGGCGUAAAGCGCGCGUAGGCGGUUGCUUAAGUCGGAUGUGAAAGCCCUCGGCUUAACUGAGGAAGUGCAUCCGAAAACUGAGCAGCUAGAGUACGAAAGAGGGUCGCGGAAUUCCCGGUGUAGAGGUGAAAUUCGUAGAUAUCGGGAGGAACACCGGUGGCGAAGGCGGCGACCUGGGUCGAGACUGACGCUGAGGCGCGAAAAGCGUGGGGAGCAAACAGG